AGAUAUCAGCAAUCCGACUUUCCUAAGAGAAGGAAAUAUUACCUUCCAAAUUUUGUCUUCUUGAAGUCCAUCUCGUGCGCAGUCUCGGUGUGAGAGUGUGUGGGGGGGUUGCGCGCGGCGCGCUUUGGUGCGUUCGCGCUCUAUUUACCAACAGCACACCAGCGAGCGUCGUCUCCUCCUACGGAUUCCCCAUUCCGGAUGUCCCACCGCCGCGAGCCCAAACAUGAACACAUAAGUCCAGCGGGGGAAGCGAGCUGCAGAGUGAGCUACACAACAAUAAACUGGAAGACUUUUUCUAUAGUGUCGGGACUUCUGUGGAGGUCAAACAACGAGCCAUCCCGGCGGGGGCAGUAGGCGAUGCGCGCGACGGCUCGCAGUGAGGGGCAACUGCACAGAGUUUUGUUCCGAGACGUGUUUGCAGGAUGUUCUGCGGGACUGGAUUCAUCUUGUGACUCUUUGGAGGGGGCCUGACUUCUGGGUUGGGAACCACCGGAUUAAUUGCUAUGGCUUGUGUAAACCAAAGGCCAGUACACAGAGUGUUGGACCUCUGCCUGUGCUGACAGACCUCUGGAGGAGAAGCUGCCACUCAGGGCCUGAAAACAGUAAACUGGACCAGAGGACACCCCUGAAUCAUGACCACACAGGAGCCAACAAACAACUUAGAUGCUCUGAUUAACAAAAUGAUUCCAACAUUUUAAAGAGGAUAACUAAAUAAAUGCAUCUGUAAUGUU